AUCAGUGUGGUGUAGUGCUUUGAACGUUGGACUACAACUCUGCAGGCUAGGGUUCGAAUCCCAGCUCAGCCA